CCGGCCAUUGGAUGGGUUGGAGCACGAGGCAGCGCUCCCGUCGCUAUGCGGUGGAGCUGCGCAGGAGGGUGAGGAGGUUGGCGACAGGGAACCGGGCCGGGGAGGAGGCAAGGUAUGUGCUAUCCUGUGUUUUUCUCUUUGCAUUUUUCUCCUACUGUGCAUUUGUUUCUGUUCAUUGUUGGAGUGGAUUCAUGGCAACAAACUUUCUCUAAAUAAUAAGUGCAAAGAUAUGUAUAUUAACAAAUGGAUGAGAGCUGUUUAGAGAAAGAUUUGAGCCAUACAUGCGACAGGUUCUGAGAGUAUGUAAAAGUAAUUGGAAUAUUUUCAAUUGCAAAUCAUUCCCUAAUAUUAUGGUUAAUUAGUUAUUUCUGGUUUUUGUCCACUGACACUCAUUUCGGAUGUAGUAUGAGCGGGUGCGUCAGGAAGCAGCUCUGAAUAUGGUUCCCGUAGAUGAAGAUGCCUUUCUGUUGGAUUUGCUUUUCUUGUUUAAGCAAUCAUUCAGGUUAUCGAAACACUCGUGUGCCUCUUUUCUUCAGUCAUUACUAAUGAUGAGUGUCGUGUGUCUGAUUUGAGGAAAAUGGUUUAGAGUAAUUACUUGUGGGAGGAUCGCUGGGUGGUAGCUGAGUGAUAGGGUUCAGAUUAGGGUUUACGAGUAUGAAGUAGAUGUGAUAGAUUGUAACUCUUCUCAUUUGAUUAAUUCAUCUCAAGAGGUCCUCUUUAUAUAUAGAGGCCUAACAAUUCAAAAACUAAUACGUACCUAUAAUCAUCCUUACAUGCAUACAUGCAUGCGUCGCUCUGGAGCCAAAAACUAAAUACGAGUAUGCAGGUUGCAGUCCCUUGUUCUACAUAUAACUUGCCAACUCUACUAAUUCAUGUAUCAGUAUAUGCAUAUAUGUAGUCCAUUCCUAGCGCAUGUGUUCGGAAGACUGGAUGCUUGUACUUACUCGAAAUUUUCUUUUAAUAAAAAGUUCAUUGGAAGAGAUUGCAAAGUUUAACAAGCAUGUCCCUUUUACAUCUAUUCACAGUGUGUCUUCUAUUGGUUUCACCACAUUUUUAGGUUCACAUUUUUUACAGGUUGCGUAUAGUAUAGGAGGCAUUGGUGAUGAAACAUGAAUGUCCAUUGAUCUUGUCCGCUCCUGAUCUCAGUAGACCUGUGUGAUGUGCUCUUGAUCCUUUCUCUCUUUUCUCGUUAAAAGAAUCUCAGACUGAGGAGAGCAUGUUCUUUAAUUAGGUUGCAAUCGUGAAACUUCUUUUGGUUUUUCUUAUUGUACAAUACGAAGCUUCCAAGUUGUUUGGUCCUGGAAAUAAGUUACCAAAUUUCUGUGUGCCGUGAGCUGGGAGCCGGGGUCAUCCCUCUCACCACCAGUCGAACAUACUACUUCAGCCACCAUGUCGAGCGAUAUAAAAGUGUUCUCUAUUUCAUAGAGCAACAACACAAGAUUGUGCCUCCUCUUGCUCCUGGUGCAUGUUGCUGCGCUCCUUUCUCCUCUGAUUUGACUUGCUUUACAUUGUGUGAAGUUGUUUACUUUCAACUUUACAAAGCUAUAUCAAGUUCGCAACUGUACUUGGCUACACCUGUAACAUAAUGCAUUUCUCUUCCAGUUUAUCGAAUAUAUUUUUAAGGAUUGAAUGUUCUAUCUGGUACUGUCCUAUCACACAUUUAACUAUCUUAAUUUGUUCACAAACCUCCUUCUGUAGUUACGAUUUCUUUGUACAACACGUACUAAUUAUUGGUCUUAUUCUUAAAUCUUAUUUCACGUUAUUCAGCUGCAGGCUGGGUUAAGAUUGUUUUUGUGCCAGAAACAGACUAGGCAAUGCUCUAACUUGGCAGCAAAAAUUGUCUAAAUUUCAUAAAUAAGGUCGUGGAAUAUCUUUGAAUAAGUUCAUUUGAAUAUCUUGAGUUGACCUGUAUGGGUUGCUUCUGUGCACACUUUCUUUGAUAUGAAUUUCUAGGAGAGAAAUUCUUUCAUGGUAAUGAUGUAUUAUCAAUAUUUACUCUGUUCUUAGGCCUAUAGGUUUCUUUUUGUGGGAUGCAAUUACGGUACCAUGUGAAUAUGAUCCUUGAGUCGCAUAUUAUUGCCCUUUUGGACAUAGACAUGUGCCAUGUAGUAUAACAUUUAUAAAGAAUGUCUUGGAAAUUGCAAGUAGAUGAUUACGGUUACCCUAUAACUUUAGGAGUAAGAUAUAUAUGGUGAUAGAAUCUAGAGAUACUUGUUAAUCUAUAACAAUAAGAUCCAGUCACCUGCAAUAUGUUUUAUUCACAUAAACAGGGAAUCAAUCUGGCUGGAAGUAGUCAUCUUAUGGCGUGGCAUGAAGAGGUAGUUCACAAACCUCUGUUAGGUGCUCCAUCCUUUGUCACUCUGGUUUGAUUUCCUAAUAUCUGGCUUCUCUGAACAGAUGUGUGCAGAUCUGAGAAAGAAGAGGAAUAAUCCAGCAGAAGAAUUUGGUGAAUAAGAACAAGUUGGCAUUUCUCUCUUGUGAACACAGUCGUGCCUGCCUUUGGAUUUUAUUAUUUGUGCUAAUGCAAACAUGAAUUCUCUAUAGUUGUUUGCGCAGCACCGCUAAUUACUCAAUCUGCAAUACAUGAUUAUUUCUGUGAGAAGUUUAGUGCAUGAAUUAGCAUUCUGUGAAGUCUGUCUAAGCUCUUGUCUUUAGGCCUAGAUAGAUUUCUCAAUAUCAUUUUGGGAUUGUUUGAACACUGAACAACAUUGCCAGGUCAACCAUUUCUCAUGUCUUUGUCAUAUAUAUAGGUAUUGUGGUGUCUCAAUUUUGUCGCCAACCUCUUUCACCGGCCCGUAAACUAUCUGUCUCGAGGUUUCCCCAUCUGUAUUUGGGUUUCGAAAAACAAAUAACUGUUUUUGGACUUAUUUUCGCAUCAGCUACUUUGUAGGUAUUAUGUGCGUUGUCAGGGAUCUGAUAUCAUGUAGUUCCAGGGAUUUCAGAAGGCCUGGUCUGCCCAUUGUUCUUGCCAUGUGUUACUUUUUCUCAUUACUGUGAUCAUCAGUUCUCUUGACAUCUGUUGUUCUUGCUUUAUGGUUGUCUUCCCAGUGCACUUUUAUUAGUUCUAACAUAUUAAUUUUAAUAUGCUUGAUUGACCAUAUUAUAUAUUUCACUUCACCGGGAUGGUUGCUGGAAGUGUUGGUUAAAGUAUUUUGGUUAUAACAUUAGGUCUCUAAUUAUCAAGUUUAUACAGUUGAAUCUUCUUGAUUGACUAUUUUGUAGCCUGCUCUUAGUUAGUACAGAUGGUUUUUUGCCUUGGCAUUACUACCGCUAUGUACAGAUGGUUACUGAAAGAAGGAUUCAAGCAGCAUACCUACACUUGACAAAUGCUUUAACCGCAAGAACUGAUGUUAUUUUAUUUUGCUUUUCUGCAAUGAUGGUAGUUCUCAUUUGAUUCUAGAACCCGCAAAGGAAGGGUAGAGAUUUCCAUUGUUGUUGAAUUGGUGGGAUUGUCACCAAGUUAGUGUUGCAGAUUGUUUCUGUUUUAGAGCAAGAAGCCAAAUCAUGUUGUUCAUUGUAAAUCUUGAAAAACUUGUUUACUGUCACGUCUAUAUCUAUUAUAAACUUUCGUUCCUGGUGUGGUACUUACCAAUCUUGGUUCGCCCUUCCAUUGCAGGAGACCAAUAUUUCUUUGUUUCUUCAAAAGAAAAUCUCAUUCCAUGUUUGCACUUCUAUUAUAGUAGAACAUGCCAUAAACAUGGCGCUGGGCAUUAUUUGUCCAGUUCCCUUCAAAAAGAAGAGAUGACUAUAGAGAGUGGCUGCAUCACUGAAGAGAUGACAAACGUUGUGCAAGGCAUUGUUUGUUUAGCUCUUUUCAAAAAUUAAGAAGUUACAAUGCAUGUGACAGAUAAAGAGGUUGUAGGUUGUGAAGGACAAAAUUCUAUGGAUCCAGAGGAGUGGGAGGGGAGAGUUUACCAACAUGUACAAGACAAGCGUGAAGCGGGACUUUGGAUUAAUUGCUAACAUAGCAAAAUUUUGUAGAUAGAAUGCCCGCAUUUUGAAAACUCUAUUGCAUAGUUUGUGGCUAUGUUUAUUUCAAUUUUCAUUAGUAAAAGGAUCCUUAUUAUUGUCAAAUUUUCAAGUAUUUAUUUUCAAAUAACUCUUGGCUUGAAUUGAGACUUUGCAUCAUUCGGCGCAACAGGUAAUGUUAUUAUACAUCUUAUUGUAGACAACAAACCACCCAUUCUUAUUAUAGACAGCAAGCCUUCAUUAUAUUUUUAUUAAGGUGGGUUAAUUUG
rnacentral:lncRNA from 1 species